rnacentral:rRNA from 2 species
UACGUAGGCAGCAAACGUUGUUCGGAAUUACUGGGCGUAAAGAGUGUGUAGGCGGUCCUGUAAGUUUGGUGUGAAAUCUCCCGGCUUAACUGGGAGGGUGCGCCGAAAACUGCAAGGCUUGAGUACUGGAGAGGAUAGCGGAAUUCCUGGUGUAGCGGUGAAAUGCGUAGAUAUCAGGAGGAACACCGGCGGUGUAGACGGCUGUCUGGACAGUAACUGACGCUGAGACACGAAAGCGUGGGGAGCAAACAGG